AUUGAACGCUGGCGGCAUGCCUUACACAUGCAAGUCGAACGGCAGCGGACCUUCGGGUGCCGGCGAGUGGCGAACGGGUGAGUAAUAUAUCGGAACGUACCUUUCAGUGGGGGGAUAACGUAGCGAAAGUUACGCUAAUACCGCAUAUUCUGUGAGCAGGAAAGCAGGGGAUCGCAAGACCUUGCGCUGAUUGAGCGGCCGAUAUCAGAUUAGCUAGUUGGUGAGGUAAAGGCUCACCAAGGCGACGGAUCUGUAGCGGGUCUGAGAGGAUGAUCCGCCACACUGGAACUGAGACACGGUCCAGACUCCUACGGGAGGCAGCAGUGGGGAAUUUUGGACAAUGGGCGCAAGCCUGAUCCAGCCAUGCCGCGUGAGUG
rnacentral:rRNA from 1 species